rnacentral:rRNA from 1 species
AGAGUUUGAUCCUGGCUCAGGACGAACGCUGGCGGCGUGCCUAACACAUGCAAGUCGAGCGGGGAGAAGAAUUCGUUUUUCUCUUUAGCGGCGGACGGGUGAGUAACACGUGGGUAACCUGCCUCAAAGUGGGGGAUAGCCUUCCGAAAGGAAGAUUAAUACCGCAUAAUAUCAGAGCACUGCAUGGUGCUGUGAUUAAAGGAGCAAUCCGCUUUGAGAUGGACCCGCGGCGCAUUAGCUAGUUGGUGAGGUAACGGCCCACCAAGGCGACGAUGCGUAGCCGACCUGAGAGGGUGAUCGGCCACAUUGGAACUGAGACACGGUCCAGACUCCUACGGGAGGCAGCAGUGGGGAAUAUUGCACAAUGGGGGAAACCCUGAUGCAGCAACGCCGCGUGAGUGAUGAAGGCCUUCGGGUCGUAAAGCUCUUUGAUCAGGGACGAUAAUGACGGUACCUGAAAAACAAGCCACGGCUAACUACGUGCCAGCAGCCGCGGUAAUACGUAGGUGGCGAGCGUUGUCCGGAUUUACUGGGCGUAAAGAAUGCGUAGGUGGAUAUUUAAGUGGGAUGUGAAAUCCCCGGGCUCAACCCGGGAACUGCAUACCAAACUGGAUAUCUGGAGUGCAGGAGAGGAAAGCGGAAUUCCUAGUGUAGCGGUGAAAUGCGUAGAUAUUAGGAGGAACACCAGUGGCGAAGGCGGCUUUCUGGACUGUAACUGACACUGAGGCAUGAAAGCGUGGGGAGCAAACAGGAUUAGAUACCCUGGUAGUCCACGCCGUAAACUAUGGGUACUAGGUGUAGGGGGUAUCGACUCCCCCUGUGCCGUCGUUAACACAAUAAGUACCCCGCCUGGGGAGUACGGUCGCAAGACUAAAACUCAAGGAAUUGACGG